rnacentral:lncRNA from 1 species
CUUCUUCCAGCCGGGCAUGGUGUCGCUCCCUGCGCUCGCUGUCGGGCUCGCUCUUUCUCGCUGGCUCUCUUUCUCCGGGGCUCUCCGCGCCUCCUCGCUCGUCCUCUAGGGCAGCCGCGCCGGGGCUGUUCAGCGGGGCUGGGGCGCCGAGGCGGCUCCCGGGCACAUUGAAGCGGCGCCGCGCGCCCCGCGCUCCCCUCAAACUCGCCGGCGGCUCCGGGCGGCGGCGGCGGCGGCGGCGGCCGGGCCGGGCCGGGCCGGGCCCCGCCGGGCAAGGCUGGGGGCUGCAGCGGCGGCUGCCGCGGUGUGGCCGGGAGGCCGGGCCGGGCCGGGGGCGGGGAGCUGGUGCAGGCCGAGAGCGGGGGGCUGCGGAGCCCCCGGGAGUGGGCGCCGGCGAGAGGAGUGGGCUGGCGCCGCCGCCUCUUUCCCCUCCUCCUCCUCCUUCUUCCUCUUCCUUGUCUCUCCGCCGCCAGCAGGUGGGACUCGGAGCCGCCGCCGCACAAAGCUCCGCCGGCGGCAGGACUGAGGCUGCGGGCUCCCCGGGCGCCUCUCGGCGGAGCCUCCCCCGAGACGCGCGCGAGGCUGAGCGGGCACGGAGGGGGCGCGCGCGCUCACACCCUCCGCGCCCCGGGCGGCCUGCGAGGCGCGCCCGGCCUGCCAGGUACCGAGCCUGGCACCGAGCUGCUGGUGCGGAGCCCACGCCGCUCCACCGCGGCCGCCACUCCCUCUCCGCCUCCCUCCCCGAGCCCAAACUGGCGGCUCCUCCGGCUUAGGCGACGACCUCGGUGGACAACCGUGAGGCAGAUCAGCUUCCAAGAAAGAAUGCCAACCUGCUUUCUGUAGGUGAAGAAGUCCCAGGGCUUGACUCAGAAGGUCCUCUAGCACCGCACUUUGCAGUCAGUCCUGUGGAAGAUGCAAAAAGACCUAUCCUAUGGAAAUGCCUAUAAAUGAUUAACAGGUAGACAAAGGAAUUAACUCAAAAUUGUAAGAAAGAGUAGAUUAGAUGAGCACCAAGAAAUGUGACUGUCUACAGCCACCUUGAAAUCUAACAGGAAACAGGCCAAAUGGCAAAUUAGACUGUUUAAUGGUUGUGUGUGAAAGUGCCUCCUCCUCAUAAAGGAACUGUAACAGAUCCACUCUUGUGCAAAGAGAAUGUUAUAAACAAGAUAAUGAAGCUUCGAGAUAGCUUCCCUAAAUUCACUAAGUCAUUAAGUAAAUUUUACAUUAUAAUCUAAGUGAAAAAAAUAAACAAACCAGAAAAAUCAAAAACAAACCAAAAAUAGACCAGAAAAGCCUGAACAGGUCCUAAAUGAAAUGCCAUGAAGGUCUCCUCUCAGAAUCACUGUGGAUUCUCUCAUGCUCCGGAUGAAGCAGAUUGUAUCAAGCAACAACAUCACUGAACUUUUAUUGAAAGUGCAAUCCAUAUUCUACAAAUGAAACUUAGAGUUUCCUAUCUGUCUGCAAUUUAGUUCUAUUUUUAACUCAUUUCACAGCUCAAUUAAUAUUCCAGUGUUUUAUUCUUCUUCACAUAUUCAGAGCAGCCUGAAAUAAACUUUACUUUGAAGCUACUUCCAGCCUUUGCAAAUCCUUACCCUUCUCAGAACCUUCUUUUCCAUCACUGCUAUUUGUUCUUUCUCCCUGGAGACUUCCUUGUUGUCACUUCAAGAUACAGACCUUGCCACCUGCUUUCCACCAUUCCAAACUGCACCUGUCCCAAUUGUAAUCUCUGCUUUCUAAGUGCAAGUUAAGUAAUCCAAUACAUUAAUGUGUGCUAA